rnacentral:rRNA from 1 species
GCCCAGACUCCUACGGGAGGCAGCAGUGGGGAAUAUUGCACAAUGGGGGAAACCCUGAUGCAGCAACGCCGCGUGAGUGAAGAAGUCAUUCGUGAUGUAAAGCUCUGUCAGCAGGGAAGAAAAUGACGGUACCUGAGUAAGAAGCCCCGGCUAACUACGCGCCAGCAGCCGCGGUAAUACGUAGGGGGCAAGCGUUAUCCGGAUUUACUGGGUGUAAAGGGAGCGUAGACGGCAAUGCAAGCCAGAUGUGAAAGCCCGGGGCUCAACCCCGGGACUGCAUUUGGAACUGCGUGGCUGGAGUGCAGGAGGGGCAGGCGGAAUUCCUGGUGUAGCGGUGAAAUGCGUAGAUAUCAGGAGGAACACCGGUGGCGAAGGCGGCCUGCUGGACUGCAACUGACGUUGAGGCCCGAAAGCGUGGGGAGCAAACAGGAUUAGAUACCCUGGUA